rnacentral:rRNA from 1 species
GGUCAAGUGACUAAGCGUACACGGUGGAUGCCUUGGCAGUCAGAGGCGAUGAAGGACGUGGUAAUCUGCGAUAAGUCUUGGGGAGCUGAUAAACAAGCUGUGAUCCAGGAAUUUCCGAAUGGGGAAACCCAACGGCAUAAGCCGUUAUUCCUUACCUGAAUACAUAGGGUCUGGAAGGCGAACCCGGGGAACUGAAACAUCUAAGUACCCGGAGGAAAAGAAAUCAAUUGAGAUUCCCCCAGUAGCGGCGAGCGAACGGGGACCAGCCCUUAAGCAAUUUAUGAGUUAGUGGAACACUCUGGAAAGUGUGGCCAUAGUGGGUGAUAGCCCCGUACACGAAAGCUCAUUUAUUGUGAAAUCGAGUAGGACGGGACACGUGAAAUCCUGUCUGAACAUGGGGGGGACCAUCCUCCAAGGCUAAAUACUCCUGACUGACCGAUAGUGAACCAGUACCGUGAGGGAAAGGCGAAAAGAACCCCGUUGAGGGGAGUGAAAUAGAACCUGAAUCCGUGUACGUACAAGCAGUGGGAGCCUACUUACUCUUUUUUAAGGGCAGAGGGGUGACUGCGUACCUUUUGUAUAAUGGGUCAGCGACUUACUUUCAGUGGCAAGGUUAACCGUAUAGGGGAGCCGUAGGGAAACCGAGUCUUAAUAGGGCGUGUUCUUAGGAACAACAGUCGCUGGGAGUAGACCCGAAACCGGGCGAUCUAUCCAUGGGCAGGUUGAAGGUUGAGUAACAUCAACUGGAGGACCGAACCGACUAUCGUUGAAAAGCUAGCGGAUGACCUGUGGAUAGGAGUGAAAGGCUAAUCAAGCCCGGAGAUAGCUGGUUCUCCUCGAAAGCUAUUUAGGUAGCGCCUCGUGUCUCACCAUCGGGGGUAGAGCACUGUUUGGGCUAGGGGGUCAUCCCGACUUACCAACCCCAUGCAAACUCCGAAUACCGAUGAGUGCAAUCACGGGAGACACACGGCGGGUGCUAACGUCCGUCGUGGAAAGGGAAACAACCCAGACCGUCAGCUAAGGUCCCAAAGUUCUAGUUAAGUGGGAAACGAUGUGAGAAGGCCCAGACAGCCAGGAGGUUGGCUUAGAAGCAGCCACCCUUUAAAGAAAGCGUAAUAGCUCACUGGUCGAGUCGGCUCGCGCGGAAGAUUUAACGGGGCUCAAACUAGACACCGAAGCUACGGAUCUAGAGACUAGUUUCUAGAAACAAGUGACAAGAAAAAGAAGUACAGAGUUAAUACUCAGCUUCUGUCUUUUAACUUGAUACUUGUAUCUAGAAACUAGUCUCUAGGUGGUAGAGGAGCGUUCUGUAAGCCGUUGAAGGUGCAUCGGGAGGUGUGCUGGAGGUAUCAGAAGUGCGAAUGCUGACAUGAGUAACGACAAGGGGAGUGAGAAGCUCCCCCGCCGGAAGACCAAGGGUUCCUGCGCAACGCUAAUCGGCGCAGGGUGAGUCGGCCCCUAAGGUGAGGUCGAAAGACGUAAUCGAUGGGAAACAGGUCAAUAUUCCUGUACCCCUUUUGACUGCGAUGGAGUGACGGAGAAGGCUAGGUCAGCGCAGCGUUGGUUGUCUGCGUUUAAGAUCGUAGGCCGGGGAUCCAGGCAAAUCCGGAUCCUCAAGGCCGAGAAUUGAUGACGAGGUUCUACGGAACUGAAGUGAUUGAUGCCAUGCUUCCAGGAAAAACUUCUAAGCUUCAGGUCAUAAGGGACCGUACCCCAAACCGACACAGGUGGUCAGGUAGAGAAUACCAAGGCGCUUGAGAGAACUCGGGUGAAGGAACUAGGCAAAAUGGCACCGUAACUUCGGGAGAAGGUGCGCCAGCUUUGGUGAUCGGACUUGCUCCGUAAGCUGAGGCUGGUCGAAGAUACCAGGUGGCUGCGACUGUUUAUUAAAAACACAGCACUGUGCAAACACGAAAGUGGACGUAUACGGUGUGACGCCUGCCCGGUGCCGGAAGGUUAAUUGAUGGGGUUAUCUCACCUCCAGAUUGCUUUUGCUGCAAGGCAAAUGAUGGAGCGAGCGAAGGAGUUUACAAAAGAGUAAAUGACUGAGCGAGCGGAAUCAUUUAACGCAGUCAGCAAGAGCAAUGUGGUGGUGAGAGAAGCUCUUGAUCGAAGCCCCGGUAAACGGCGGCCGUAACUAUAACGGUCCUAAGGUAGCGAAAUUCCUUGUCGGGUAAGUUCCGACCUGCACGAAUGGCGUAACGAUGGCCACGCUGUCUCCACCCGAGACUCAGUGAAAUUGAAAUCGCUGUUAAGAUGCAGCGUAUCCGCGGCUAGACGGAAAGACCCCGUGAACCUUUACUACAGCUUCACAGUGGAUCUUGAUGUUGCUUGUGUAGGAUAGGUGGGAGGCUUUGAAGCGGUGACGCCAGUCAUCGUGGAGCCAUCCUUGAAAUACCACCCUGGCAAUAUUGAGGUUCUAACCCAGGUCCCGGAACGGGAUCGGGGACAUUGUGUGGUGGGUAGUUUGACUGGGGCGGUCUCCUCCCAAAGAGUAACGGAGGAGCACGAAGGUGUGCUAAGUACGGUCGGACAUCGUACGGUUAGUGUAAAGGCACAAGCACGCUUGACUGCGAGAGGUACAUCUCGAGCAGGUACGAAAGUAGGUCUUAGUGAUCCGGUGGUUCUGCAUGGAAGGGCCAUCGCUCAACGGAUAAAAGGUACUCCGGGGAUAACAGGCUGAUACCGCCCAAGAGUUCACAUCGACGGCGGUGUUUGGCACCUCGAUGUCGGCUCAUCACAUCCUGGGGCUGAAGCCGGUCCCAAGGGUAUGGCUGUUCGCCAUUUAAAGUGGUACGCGAGCUGGGUUUAGAACGUCGUGAGACAGUUCGGUCCCUAUCUGCCGUGGACGUUGGAAGUUUGAGAAGAGCUGCUCCUAGUACGAGAGGACCGGAGUGGACGGACCACUGGUGUUCGGGUUGUGUCGCCAGACGCAUUGCCCGGUAGCUAUGUUCGGACGGGAUAACCGCUGAAAGCAUCUAAGCGGGAAGCCCCCUUCAAGAUGAGACUUCCCUGACUCCCAGAGAGUCCUGAAGAGCCGUUAAAGACUAUGACGUUGAUAGGUUGGGUGUGUAAGUGCUGUGAGGCAUUGAGCUAACCAAUACUAAUGACUCGUGCGGCUUGACCAU